rnacentral:lncRNA from 1 species
CUCAGAAGUGGCUCACUAAAAGUCUGGUCAAUGGAUGAGUAUCUGGGCCUUGGAGAAUUUCCCUGACUAAGUGCAAAAUUGUGAGACCCAGAGACAGGACGAUGUUGGAGAUGGCAACUCAUUGGCUGUUCUCAUAGAAAUCUAUACAGCCAGUGCUAUUUUCAGCCCAAGAUUAAGAGUUUGGACCUCAGAAUCUAAUAUCCAGCAUCUAUAAGAAACUUAAAUUUACAAAGAAAAAGCAAACAACUCUCUUAAAAGAUGGGCAAAGGACAUGAACAAACACUUUUCCAAAGAAGACAUGCAUGCAGCCAAUAAUCGUAUAAAGAAAAGUUCAGCAUGACUGAUCAUUAGAGAAAUGCAAAUCAAAACCACAAUGAGAUACUACCUUACACCAAUCAGAAUGGCUAUUAUUAAAAAGUCAAAAAAUAACAGAUGCUGGUGAGGUUAUAGAGAAAAAGGAAUGCUUACACACUGUUUUUAGGAGUGUACAUUAGUCAACCAUUGUGGAAGACAGUGUGGCGAUUCCUCAAACACCUAAAACCAGAAAUACCAUUUGACACAGCAAUCCCAGUACUGAGUAUAUACCCAAAGGAAUAUGAAUUGCUAUAUUAUAAAGACAUAUGUAUGCAUAUGUUCAUUGCAGCACUAUUCACAAGAGCAAAGACAUGGAAUCAGCCUAAAUACCCAUCAAUGACAGACUGGAGAGAGAAAAUGUGGUACAUAUACGCCAUGGAAUAUUAUGCAGCCAUAAAAAGGAACAAGAUUAUGUCCUUUGCAGGGACAUGGAUGGAGCUGGAGGUCAUUAUCCUUAUC